UGCCAUACCAUGCUGAAUAUACCGGUUCUCGUUAGAUCACCGAAGUCAAGCAUCACUGUGCGCGGUCAGUACUUGGGUGGGUGACCACCUGGGAACACCGCGUGCUGUUG
rnacentral:rRNA from 1 species